GCUAAUAAAUAUCUUCUCUAUUGCAUAACAAUAAUGCCUAACCCAAAUGAAGAUUCGUUUCACGCCCCUAACCCUAAUCAUAAUGUGAACCCGACAUAUAUAUAUGAUUGAAAUUAAAGUAAUCUAUGAGUAUUGUUAUUCGUUGGACAGUUAUUAAUAAUUGAAAUACAUAGUUAAGAGGGCGUUGUACGUUUUUGAGUUCUGGGUGUAUUUUUUGGUCGAAGAUUGUAUUUGUAGACGGUGGGAUGUUCUCUGGUUGAUGUUGAUCCAUGGCAGGUUCUGAAGAAACUCGAAUUUCUGCGCGUCUCUCGCAUAUAACCAGCUCUGUGGAAUACUCCUGAUGUUCCGUGUGGUCACUUGAGUCGAAGGUACAGUUUACAAAAUUUCUUAUUACAGGUGGUACGAUUUCCCCUGUGUUAGGACUUCUGGUGAAGAAGCAGAGUCGUUUCAGCAGUCUCCAACAUCCCAACUAAUGGCAGCAAUUUCUGCAAUUGAUUAAAAAUUAAAUAGCACCAAUUACGCAUAGGACCAUAGUGUAGCAACUCGAAUGAACAAUGAACGGCUCCGUUAAUCGUCGAAUUAGGAUCUCGUCGAAUUCCUUGAGCUUCUUCUUAUCACACUUUAAAUUGUUUAGAUCAAUAUUGGCAAGUUUUAUGGGUUUUAAAGGCGUUGGCACGUCUUGAUUGACAUAGUCAGAUGCGAGGAUCCAUUCAACGCAUCAAGAGGAAACUUCAACGGGACCUCUACGGAUUCUACAGCGAAGGACCACGGUCAUCUCCUUGAUCAAAAGAAGGAUCUACGUAGAAUCUCGGUAAGCUGGCUUUUGUACAUUAUCGAAACAGUAGACCUGAAAUACAUUUUGAAAAUCGUGACUCUCUUUCUGCUGAAAGUAUCGUAUCUAUGAACACGAAUCCAACUGACAAGAGUACGGCAAAGCAAAACGAACUAUUUGCUAUUAUUCUCGAACAACUCCAAAGUCUAACUCACGAGUUUAGAAACUUUAGUUCACGAGUUUAUUGUCUUUUGUUUUCUUGACUAUGAUUCUAAUUUCUUGUGCUGUUGUAUUAGGUAUGGUGUAGUGCUUGUUAGUUGGGGUACUAGCAUAUUGCGCAUCUUCGUCGGAAUGAUAUUUGCUUUUACUGUUGUUUUCUUUUCCAGCAGUGUUGUUCUAUAAUUUGAUUAGGAUAUCUAUUAUUUGGGCAUUUAUGUAGAUCGGUAGUUAUUUAACCAUAUAAGUUGUGACAUUUUCUUUUGGGUCCAUAUCUAUUUCUUCUAUUAGUAAACCGAAUGAAUUUCGAAGUGGGAUGUCUUGUAGCCAUUGUUAUUUUUCUGUAUCUGAAGAUUUGAUGGCACUUGUGCCUGGUAUUAUUUUACGCUUUUUGUACGCUGCUGCCAUCUUCCAGUGUUCAUCGUUCCUAUUUCUUUUGUAGAUGAGCUUCGUUUCUUGGUUGUUUUCUACUUAACGUAUUUAUAGCUUUAUUUAUGUAAUAUAUUUCACCUUUGUUUGUUAUUUUGAUUGGUGAUAUUUGCUAUUGCAUUUUGGUGCUUUACCAUUUGGCAGUGUUUGUUGUCUUUUUGUUCACCUAAAUUCGCUGCUUGUCGUACUUUCAUCGAAAUACAGUUUCUCGUGUCUGUCUAGCUCGGCUGGUCAGGCAGAACUGACAUUACCAUAUAGAAUAGAAACCAUUGGAAAUCCUAAUUUCUAACAUUUCUGAAUAAAGAAUUUCUAUAAUUCAUUCAUCCACGCGUUUUCUUUCUCUAUUUCGAGUUAUUAUUCGCAGCCUAUCAACUACUGAAAUUACUAUAAAAGUGAAAUUUAGGUUUUAUUAUAACAAAAUGCGAAGAAAGUAAAUAAACAAAAAGCUAUUGUAUAUAAAGAAUAUAUUAAAAUCAUUGUAUCAUUCUACUGAUCCAUUGUCGUUUGGAAAGAAAGAUUUUCUUUUUUCUCUAAAAAGAAUAGAAUAAACAAUUAAUUUUUCUUUCUAAGGCAACUAAGAUUAAUUAUUGCGCGAUUUUACUCGGACAGAAAAGUAUGAAUAUUUUCGUAGAACCGUACAAUGAAAUAAGCUCUUGCAGCAUAGAAUCACAGCGAGUAUAUCUCAUUUGUGGUAGAACUAAAUAGGUUUUCUUAUAUGAUAGCGUGGAACACCUUCAGCUUUUGGUAGCUGGGAGCAGCACUAAUCUGAGAAUAACCUUAUAAAUGUGAGCACUCGUUCCGUCUUCGGUAAUACUAUUCCCUAAUUAAUUGAAAGAUACAUAUAUAAACUGCCUGCGCCUUAAUAUAAAGACGUGAUGUCGGUCUAAUGAGUCUAACUAUUGACUAAUGAAAAUGAUACAAAACAAGUCACACAUACCUACGACAUUGUUACUAUUGGUGACACUACCUUUAAGUUAGUGAGGAAAUUAUCCUGUAUGUUAUCAAUUAUAUUUUUAUUUUCAAAAUAGUAUUUUAUUAGUAUUUUAUUCAUAAUAGUAUUUUAUAGAAGAUUCUUUUAUAAAAAACUUUUUAUAUUAUACAUUUAUUUAGGUAACAUAAUACAGAAAGAUAUAUUUACCAUAAAUUUUAUUUUUGACAAAUUUUAGUAUUAACGAUAUUGGCUGACAAUUAAUGAUAAAAUGCAAGACUCAUAUUUCAACUAUUUAACAUCUAAUAAUUUGUUGCCAUAAAAUACUUUAAUAAUGAAAGUUUCGAGAGUAUAUAAAUACUACUUAUGCCUAACAUAAACUACUUGAAAAUAUAAAUACAUAAAGUAAAAAUUGAUCUUUUGUUUUUAAAUAUGACAUUAAUUUGUAAUAUUAACAUUAUGAGAUACAUUAUAAAUAACAUUUAUAGAUAUGUAACUAAGGAGUAAAGCAGUUUAUAAGUAAUAAAAACAUAAUUGUUUUAUUUUCCUGGAACUAACUUUUUGUUUUAUUAUCUAACAAUUGAAUGAAAUAUUACUAAUAUAUAAGUCAUUUAUAGUUUCAUUUGAAGUUUCGUUUAUUUUACGUUUUCUGUAUUCAUUUUAAUGCCAUAAGAGUGAUACAAAAUGUAAAAGACAAGAUAAUGAAUUAUUAGAGACAAAAAAUUUAAUUAUUAAAUGCUUAAGACUAUUGUGGUUAGAUUUCAAUAAUUUGCCACAUUUAAAAUCUAUGUCAGUAAAAAAUCCUAUCACAAAUUGUGGCUUUGAAAUAUUCUUAUUCUUAGUUUAUAAUACUAUAUAUCUUAAAUUAGUUUUACAUGUAAUUAUACUUUCACAGCUAAUAUUUUUUCUGUUGAUUUUCAAAAAUGUUCGCUCAAAGUUUUCAAAGAUUGUUACUAACCUUUUGUGCUCUUAAUUGUAUUUAUUCACAACAUGUAAUAUAUACAUAAUAUUCUUGAAAUACCAUCUAAGAAUUUUGUACAAAAACAUUAUCUAAUUUUUAAAUUAAGUAUGACCUACAUACAUAUACUGAAGGCAAUUGUUCCUUUUUAAGAUUCUUUUAAUUGCAAUUUAUUAAAUAUCAAUAGCCAAUUAACAUAUAACAAGAUUAAUAAUUAAUUAUUAACAUUGAAAUAACAUAUCCACUGAAAAAAAUGUGUGAUAAGAGAUGUAAAGACCACAAUUUGAUCACAAAAGGUUAAAUCAUUUAAUGCAAAUACACAGUUACGUUUCUGUUUCUUAACGAAGAUAUUCGAAACUCAUUUAAUAAAAAAUUUCUUAUUUACAUUCAUUCAUAUGCUUCUUAGAUACAUAAAUACAAUCUCGCGACAAAACAUUAAAUAGUAAUUUAAAUUUUGCAUAAUUUUCAGCAUUAAAAUUUAUUAAACAUUUUGAUCAUCCUAAAUAAUUUCAUUCAUCUUUUAUAAAUUCACCAUUUUUAAAAUAAUUUUUUAACUUUAUAUUUAUACUCACAUAUAAUUAAUUUCUUUGUGUUUUUAACGUUUUGCAAGUGUAUGCAUAUAUUUAUAAUAUUCUAUUCAUAAUAUACGAAUUAUAAAGGACAUUAUAUCACAUUAAUGUUACUACCAUAUGACUUGUUCAUUUUCUUUUUACGGCACUCUCUCUCUCUCUCUCUCACGUAUUUCAUAUAAUAGCAAUAACUGAUAAAUUUGAGAACGAAAUUCCUCGUUUGUUUAUAAAAUGUAUGAUACAAGUAGAAAAUAUAUAUGUGUGUGUGUGUAUGUGUGU